CCCAUCUUUCAUUUAAAUUGAAUGUGACUCUGUGGCCUUCGGACUCCAGAUACACCCAUCGAAUUGUGCAAAUCAAUGGCAAGAUGAUAUGUUUGGACGUAAACGACAGGCUGUCAUUAGGAAACGAAUAACGGAUUUAAUUCGACUCCCGUCGGCCAAUGACCAUGACUGAUGCAUCACAACAAUUCUGCCUUGGAUUUUAUUUAUAUUUAUUUCUAGUAAGGGACACUUUUUGGACACCUCCGCAGUUGAUAUCUUUCUCUUUCUGAGUUUCUUCACAAGGCCAGCCAGCAGACUGCUUUUGCACUAUCACCAUGGAUACAGCAUACAAACCACGUGACUUUCCAUCAUCCUUUCUUACGACGCCAUUAAGACAACAGUCACGUGACUUGAAAAAGGGGGAUCCUUGUCUGCCUUCAUUCAAUUAUGUACUUAAUAGAUCUGACAGGUGGGGAAGAGAAAUAAAUCAGGGUGCUAGCCCCUUCCCCAUGGUACCCCAAUGACAAAAAGGAAAGCUUGUUAAAAGUAGACUUACUUAAUUUUGCCACUGUGAUUUCUGGUCAUACUGAAGGCCUAUUUUGUAGAAAUUGGUGCAUGAGAAACAUGCCCUCCCCUCUUCACGGAUUUCUUUUUUCAUUUAA